AGACGGAGGGGGCAAGCGUUGUCCGGAAUUACUGGGCGUAAAGCGCAUGUAGGCGGUCCUGUACGGCGGUGGUGAAAGCUCCCGGCUCAACUGGGAGAGGCCCGUCGCAACGGCAGGACUCGAGGGUGGUAGAGGCAGAUGGAAUUCCCGGUGUAGCGGUGAAAUGCGUAGAGAUCGGGAGGAACACCCAUGGCGAAGGCAGUCUGCUGGGCCAUGCCUGACGCUGAGAUGCGAAAGCCAGGGGAGCGAACGGGAUUAGAUACCCCGGUAGUCCUGGCCGUAAACGAUGGAAACUAGGUGUCCGCGGUAUCGACCCCGCGGGUGCCGGAGCUAACGCGUGAAGUUUCCCGCCUGGGGAGUACGGCCGCAAGGUUGAA
rnacentral:rRNA from 1 species